rnacentral:rRNA from 1 species
UACAGAGGGUGCAAGCGUUAAUCGGAAUUACUGGGCGUAAAGCGCGCGUAGGUGGUUCGUUAAGUUGGAUGUGAAAUCCCCGGGCUCAACCUGGGAACUGCAUUCAAAACUGUCGAGCUAGAGUAUGGUAGAGGGUGGUGGAAUUUCCUGUGUAGCGGUGAAAUGCGUAGAUAUAGGAAGGAACACCGGUGGCGAAGGCGACCACCUGGACUGAUACUGACACUGAGGUGCGAAAGCGUGGGGAGCAAACAGG